UACGUAGGGGGCUAGCGUUAUCCGGAAUUACUGGGCGUAAAGGGUGCGUAGGUGGUUUCUUAAGUCAGAGGUGAAAGGCUACGGCUCAACCGUAGUAAGCCUUUGAAACUGGGGAACUUGAGUGCAGGAGAGGAGAGUGGAAUUCCUAGUGUAGCGGUGAAAUGCGUAGAUAUUAGGAGGAACACCAGUUGCGAAGGCGGCUCUCUGGACUGUAACUGACACUGAGGCACGAAAGCGUGGGGAUCGAACAGG
rnacentral:rRNA from 1 species